rnacentral:rRNA from 1 species
UACGUAGGUGGCGAGCGUUGUCCGGAUUUACUGGGCGUAAAGGGCGCGUAGGCGGCCACCGCAAGUCGACUGUGAAAUCUCCGGGCUUAACCCGGAAAGGUCAGCCGAUACUGCGGGGCUAGAGUGCAGAAGGGGCAACUGGAAUUCUCGGUGUAGCAGUGAAAUGCGUAGAGAUCAUGAGGAAGACCAGUGGCGAAGGCGGGUCUCUGGACAGUUCCUGACACUGAGGCACGAAGGCCAGGGGAGCAAACGGG